rnacentral:rRNA from 1 species
GGACUACUGGGGUAUCUAAUCCUGUUUGCUCCCCACGCUUUCGCACCUCAGCGUCAGUAUCGGGCCAGUGAGCCGCCUUCGCCACUGGUGUUCUUGCGAAUAUCUACGAAUUUCACCUCUACACUCGCAGUUCCACUCACCUCUCCCGAACUCAAGACUCCCAGUAUCGAAGGCAGUUCUGGAGUUGAGCUCCAGGAUUUCACCCCCGACUUAAGAGUCCGCCUACGUGCGCUUUACGCCCAGUGAUUCCGAGCAACGCUAGCCCCCUUCGUAUUACCGCGGCGGCUGGCAC